AUUGAACGCUGGCGGCAUGCCUUACACAUGCCAGUCGAACGGCAGCACGGGUGCUUGCACCUGGUGGCGAGUGGCGAACGGGUGAGUAAUACAUCGGAACAUGUCCUGUAGUGGGGGAUAGCCCGGCGAAAGCCGGAUUAAUACCGCAUACGAUCUACGGAUGAAAGCGGGGGACCUUCGGGCCUCGCGCUAUAGGGUUGGCCGAUGGCUGAUUAGCUAGUUGGUGGGGUAAAGGCCUACCAAGGCGACGAUCAGUAGCUGGUCUGAGCGGACGACCAGCCACACUGGGACUGAGACACGGCCCAGACUCCUACGGGAGGCAGCAGUGGGGAAUUUUGGACAAUGGGCGAAAGCCUGAUCCAGCAAUGCCGCGUGUGUGAAGAAGGCCUUCGGGUUGUAAAGCACUUUUGUCCGGAAAGAAAUCCUUGGCCCUAAUACGGUCGGGGGAUGACGGUACCGGAAGAAUAAGCACCGGCUAACUACGUG
rnacentral:rRNA from 1 species